GCGCCCAGACUGCGACCCGGAGGCGGAACCGGCAGUGCAGCCCGAAGCCCCGCAGUCCCCGAGCACGCGUGGCCAUGCGUCCCCUGCGCCCCCGCGCCGCGCUGCUGGCGCUCCUGGCCUCGCUCCUGGCCGCGCCCCCGGUGGCCCCGGCCGAGGCCCCGCACCUGGUGCAGGUGGACGCGGCCCGCGCGCUGUGGCCCCUGCGGCGCUUCUGGAGGAGCACAGGCUUCUGCCCCCCGCUGCCACACAGCCAGGCUGACCAGUACGUCCUCAGCUGGGACCAGCAGCUCAACCUCGCCUAUGUGGGCGCCGUCCCUCACCGCGGCAUCAAGCAGGUCCGGACCCACUGGCUGCUGGAGCUUGUCACCACCAGGAGGUCCACUGGACGGGGCCUGAGCUACAACUUCACCCACCUGGACGGGUACCUGGACCUUCUCAGGGAGAACCAGCUCCUCCCAGGGUUUGAGCUGAUGGGCAGCGCCUCGGGCCACUUCACUGACUUUGAGGACAAGCAGCAGGUGUUUGAGUGGAAGGACUUGGUCUCCAGCCUGGCCAGGAGAUACAUCGGUAGGUACGGACUGGCGCAUGUUUCCAAGUGGAACUUCGAGACGUGGAACGAGCCAGACCACCACGACUUUGACAACGUCUCCAUGACCAUGCAAGGCUUCCUGAACUACUACGAUGCCUGCUCGGAGGGUCUGCGCGCCGCCAGCCCCGCCCUGCGGCUGGGAGGCCCCGGCGACUCCUUCCACACCUCACCGCGAUCCCCGCUGAGCUGGGGCCUCCUGCGCCACUGCCACGACGGUACCAACUUCUUCACUGGGGAGGCGGGCGUGCGGCUGGACUACAUCUCCCUCCACAGGAAGGGUGCGCGCAGCUCCAUCUCCAUCCUGGAGCAGGAGAAGGUCGUCGCGCAGCAGAUCCGGCAGCUCUUCCCCAAGUUCGCGGACACCCCCAUUUACAACGACGAGGCGGACCCGCUGGUGGGCUGGUCCCUGCCACAGCCGUGGAGGGCCGACGUGACCUACGCGGCCAUGGUGGUGAAGGUCAUCGCGCAGCAUCAGAACCUGCUACUGGCCAACACCACCUCCGCCUUCCCCUACGCGCUCCUGAGCAACGACAAUGCCUUCCUGAGCUACCACCCGCACCCCUUCGCGCAGCGCACGCUCACCGCGCGCUUCCAGGUCAACAACACCCGCCCGCCGCACGUGCAGCUGUUGCGCAAGCCGGUGCUCACCGCCAUGGGGCUGCUGGCGCUGCUGGAUGAGGAGCAGCUCUGGGCCGAAGUGUCGCAGGCCGGGACGGUCCUGGACAGCAACCACACGGUGGGCGUCCUGGCCAGCGCCCACCGCCCCCAGGGCCCGGCCGACGCCUGGCGCGCCGCGGUGCUGAUCUACGCGAGCGACGACACCCGCGCCCACCCCAACCGCAGCGUCGCGGUGACCCUGCGGCUGCGCGGGGUGCCCCCCGGCCCGGGCCUGGUCUACGUCACGCGCUACCUGGACAACGGGCUCUGCAGCCCCGACGGCGAGUGGCGGCGCCUGGGCCGGCCCGUCUUCCCCACGGCAGAGCAGUUCCGGCGCAUGCGCGCGGCUGAGGACCCGGUGGCCGCGGCGCCGCGCCCCUUACCCGCCGGCGGCCGCCUGACCCUGCGCCCCGCGCUGCGGCUGCCGUCGCUUUUGCUGGUGCACGUGUGUGCGCGCCCCGAGAAGGCGCCCGGGCAGGUCACGCGGCUCCGCGCCCUGCCCCUGACCCAAGGGCAGCUGGUUCUGGUCUGGUCGGAUGAACACGUGGGCUCCAAGUGCGUGCCUGUGGACAUACGAGAUCCAGUUCUCUCAGGACGGUAAGGCGUACACCCCGAUCAGCAGGAAGCCAUCGACCUUCAACCUCUUUGUGUUCAGCCCAGACACAGGUGCUGUCUCUGGCUCCUACCGAGUUCGAGCCCUGGACUACUGGGCCCGACCAGGCCCCUUCUCGGACCCUGUGCCGUACCUGGAGGUCCCUGUGCCGUACCUGGAGGUCCCUGUGCCAAGAGGGCCCCCAUCCCCGGGCAAUCCAUGAGCCUGUGCUGAGCCCCAGUGGGUUGCACCUCCACCGGCAGUCAGCGAGCUGGAGCUGCACUGUGCCCAUGCUGCCCUCCCAUCACCCCCUUUGCAAUAUAUUUUUAUAUUUUA